GCCCGGGUGGCGGAAUUGGCAGACGCUGCAGACUUAGGAUCUGUUGCCAGCAAUGGCGUGGGGGUUCAAGUCCCCCCUCGGGCACCA
rnacentral:tRNA from 1 species